AUCUGGCUUAGUUAGGAGGCAUACAUUGAUAGAGAUGUGAGGUUGAGAUUAUUCCUCUCUUCCUCUCAAUCUCUUCUCUGGCCUUUUUUAUUGGACUUUAAAGAUAUUCCAAUCUAUUGUCCUCCAAGAAGCCUUAGACAUUU